rnacentral:lncRNA from 1 species
ACUUUGCUUUGGGUUUCUCUUAUCUAUUAAUGCAAUAAUAGUCUGUCGAUAACCAAAGCAAUGAAUUUGCCCUGCCCCUACCUCUCCUCCCCUGAUUGUCCUUUUCUGUGACAUCACUGAUCUGAAUUGCAAGAGACACAAGUACACACGCAAGUCACAGCCAACUGAAAGCAAAGCAAGGGUUAAGGACACUGAGUAAUUGCUCCUGGACAAGGCUAAGGAGGACUGUGCGUCAUCCAGGACAGCCCAGUUCUACUGAGCCACCUUAAUGAAGAGUAAGGUUGUGGAAUCUCAUUGGCGCUCAUGGAUUAAACGAGAUUGUUAAUGCUUUGGGUGAACGACUUGAAUAAAAAAUUCUUUUCCACACAUUUUCCAUAUUCUCCAGGCUUAGGGCCCAGC